AGCAGCCGCGGUAAUUCCAGCUCCAAUAGCGUAUAUUAAAGUUGUUGCAGUUAAAAAGCUCGUAGUUGAAUUUCGGGAUCAAUUAAUUGGUCGUGCCUCUGGUACGUACUGAUUUUAUUGGUUUCUCCCUUCUGACGAACCAUGAUGUCAUUAAUUUGGUGUCGUGGAGAAUCAGGACUGUUACUUUGAAAAAUUAGAGUGUUUAAAGCAAGCUAACGCUUGAAUACAUUAGCAUGGAAUAAUGAAAUAGGACGUUUGAUCCUAUUUUGUUGGUUUCUAGGAUCGACGUAAUGAUUAAUAGGGAUAGUUGGGGGCAUUAGUAUUCAAUUGUCAGAGGUGAAAUUCUUGGAUUUAUUGAAGACUAACUACUGCGAAAGCAUUUGCCAAGGAUGUUUUCAUUAAUCAAGAACGAAAGUUAGGGGAUCGAAGACGAUCAGAUACCGUCGUAGC
rnacentral:rRNA from 1 species